rnacentral:lncRNA from 1 species
CGUGACUGUCGAAUCUUAGAUGUGAGCGCCAGCUUCAGGGCACUCCAUGGUUGUGGCUUGUUUCGUUAGAUUUUGCAUAGAAACCAGCAACAAAAUCAAACGCCUCAUGGACAAUCUAUUUCCGUUUCUGAUUUGGCAAUGUGCACACUUGGGUGAGGCACUGUCAGUUCCCUGUGAAGAGGGAGCACCCACUGCAGUAAACAUUUACCGGGAGCCCUCUCCCUGGGCUCCCAUGAGUGGGAGGUAAUUAGCUGGUGAGGCGGAAAACAUAUUUUCACAACAUUUCCCAAGGUUUGCCUUUCCUUUCAUGUAGAGCUCCUUCAAAAUAUUAUCCUCAAACUGCAGUUUGAAAGCUGACCCUUCUAACUCUGCCUUCCCAGAUCUCUUUGAAGUCACAGAACAGUCUGAACACAAAGCAUUUACACAGUCCUGCGGCAGAAAAAUAAACACACAUCCCUCCUGAAGGGAGACCCUGGCUUCCAAGUUUCAGAGCGGAGGUCUGCCAAACAGAAGAGACUGACUGGCAUCCAGGGCUCUUGUUUCCAUCAGGAUUACUCCAGGACGCUUUUUGGUCCUCUGCCUUGCUAGUUCAAAAAAGUCACUGGAAUCCCCUUAAUGCACGCACUGGUUUCUGUGCAAUCGGCACCCACACAAAGUUCCUUGAAUUGUGCUUACGUGUAGAGCAUUGUGAUCUAGCAGGAUGUUAAGUAAACUAUCAUCAGAAACAAGUUUAGGUUCCGCAUGCCAAGAGAUGGACUGUAAACAGACAAUCACAUAGCCACAGCAUUCUGUGUUGCUUUUCCUCUCUGUACACCCAGCAACCGGGCAAAGAACCAGUCACGUAUCAGGUUGCUAAGUGGUGUUGAGUAAAUGAAUGCAUGAACAAACAAAUGAAUGGCACAAACUCUCCUCUCUCACGCUCAGACUUGCAGAGGGAAGCGGAGGGGAAAUCUGCUAGAGCUCAUGCCCUCCUCGGAAUACACGUGUAGCAAACUCGGAGGAAAAGAAGACUGCAUCUCCGGUACAGCCCAUUAUAAGAGAGGAGAAAGGAACAUGCGCCCCACAGCAGGACAAAACCCCAUCAUGAAGAGGAUUUCCCACGAUACAACCCAUCAUCUGAUCCCCCAACACUGCUGAAAGACCACCGGCCCUAGUCUGUCAGGGCUUCAGAUGGCCAGUUCCCCCUCUCAGACUCCUGGGAUGGGAUCACGUACCUGGGAUGGGCCCAGCAACCCAAAGCUGGUGCCAGUGCAACCAGCAGCUACUGAUUAUGCCCAUCCCUUUUAAAAACCACUGCAGUGUCUCUAGCUCCUAAAAGAAGAUAAUUAAGGGGGUAGAAGGCCAUCAGGUGUGAAAGCAUACUUUUCAGGAAGACACCUGGGUCAGUUUCUCAUCUAAUCGUAUCGACCAUAGAGGAGACAGGAAAUAGGUGACUGUUAUCCCUGUGGUUCCCAUUGGGCCUCUGCGGGAAUAAAUGCAGUCUAUUUUCUGGGAGAUCA